rnacentral:rRNA from 1 species
CCGUAGGUGAACCUGCGGAAGGAUACAUUACCGAGUUUACAACUCCCAAACCCCUGUGAACAUACCUUAUGUUGCCUCGGCGGAUCAGCCCGCGCCCCGUAAAAAGGGACGGCCCGCCGCAGGAACCCUAAACUCUGUUUUUAGUGGAACUUCUGAGUAUAAAAAACAAAUAAAUCAAAACUUUCAACAACGGAUCUCUUGGUUCUGGCAUCGAUGAAGAACGCAGCAAAAUGCGAUAAGUAAUGUGAAUUGCAGAAUUCAGUGAAUCAUCGAAUCUUUGAACGCACAUUGCGCCCGCCAGUAUUCUGGCGGGCAUGCCUGUUCGAGCGUCAUUUCAACCCUCAAGCCCAGCUUGGUGUUGGGAGCUGCAGUCCUGCUGCACUCCCCAAAUACAUUGGCGGUCACGUCGAGCUUCCAUAGCGUAGUAAUUUACACAUCGUUACUGGUAAUCGUCGCGGCCACGCCGUUAAACCCCAACUUCUGAAUGUUGACCUCGGAUCAGGUAGGAAUACCCGCUGAACUUAAGCAUAUCAAUAA